UAAUCUCACUUCUACAACUUUUUUGUUGUCGAAUGUGGACUUGGACGUCUGCCGUGUUUCAAUGGCUCGUCUUAAAUGCCUGAGUGUACCCCGCUUUGUGGCGUAUUCGGUGUGAUAAACAUUUCACCGGAGUUUGGUCUUCUGACCGCGCUUUUGCAAUUGGUGGGCUCUAUGCUUCCCAACCGUCCCUUGUGGACAAUCUUUGACA
rnacentral:misc_RNA from 1 species